rnacentral:misc_RNA from 1 species
UAUAAUAACAACAUGAGUAAGCUAUGCAAGUAAACUAAGUUUGGGGCCAUUUCCUGGUUCUUUGGUUCAACCACUGGCUGUUUAUUACCUCAUUUUUAGCUACUGAUGAAAUGUGCUUAUUUUAUCAUCGUAUUUUUUUUAAAGAUCCUGUAAUUUUGAAACACAGAUCCAUCUUUUUGCACCUUAAGGAUGUGCUUGGGCAG